UACGAAGGGGGCUAGCGUUGUUCGGAAUCACUGGGCGUAAAGCGCACGUAGGCGGAUUGUUAAGUCGGGGGUGAAAUCCUGAGGCUCAACCUCAGAACUGCCUUCGAUACUGGCAAUCUCGAGUCCGGAAGAGGUUGGUGGAACAGCUAGUGUAGAGGUGAAAUUCGUAGAUAUUAGCUAGAACACCAGUGGCGAAGGCGGCCAACUGGUCCGGUACUGGACGCUGAGGUGCGAAAGCGUGGGGAGCAAACAGGGAUUAAGAAACCCCGGUA
rnacentral:rRNA from 1 species